GCAAGCCGAGCGGUAGAAGUUCUUCGGGACUUUGAGAGCGGCGUACGGGUGCGGAACACGUGUGCAACCUGCCUUUAUCUGGGGGAUAGCCUUUCGAAAGGAAGAUUAAUACCCCAUAAUAUAUUAGAUGGCAUCAUUUGAUAUUGAAAACUCCGGUGGAUAGAGAUGGGCACGCGCAAGAUUAGAUAGUUGGUGAGGUAACGGCUCACCAAGUCGAUGAUCUUUAGGGGGCCUGAGAGGGUGAUC
rnacentral:rRNA from 1 species